GAUGAACGCUGGCGGCGUGCCUAAUACAUGCAAGUCGAGCGAACAGACGAGGAGCUUGCUCCUCUGACGUUAGCGGCGGACGGGUGAGUAACACGUGGAUAACCUACCUAUAAGACUGGGAUAACUUCGGGAAACCGGAGCUAAUACCGGAUAAUAUAUUGAACCGCAUGGUUCAAUAGUGAAAGACGGUUUUGCUGUCACUUAUAGAUGGAUCCGCGCCGCAUUAGCUAGUUGGUAAGGUAACGGCUUACCAAGGCGACGAUGCGUAGCCGACCUGAGAGGGUGAUCGGCCACACUGGAACUGAGCCGCGGUCCAGACUCCUACGGGAGGCAGCAGUAGGGAAUCUUCCGCAAUGGGCGAAAGCCUGACGGAGCAACGCCGCGUGAGUGAUGAAGGUCUUCGGAUCUUAAAACUCUGUUAUUAGGGAAGAACAAAUGUGUAAGUAACUAUGCACGUCUUGACGGUACCUAAUCAGAAAGCCACGGCUAACUACGUG
rnacentral:rRNA from 1 species